ACGACUCCUGUAAUCAAGACUCCAGGUACCACCUUCCUGCCUCAAGCACUCCCUAGCCUGUGCAGUGCAGGCAUCCAGGGGGGGUGCACCGAUUACCUCACAAAACAUCUCUAUUUCAUAGCCCAGAAAGUUCUACAGCUCCCAUGACGUUCUUCAAAGAGCCUUAGUGAGAACUCUCAUCCUAGCAGACGUCCUUGACCAGGAGGCCAGCUACCUGCAAAUUGAUGAAGCGAUUAGAAUAAUCAUUUGUGACCGAUGUAGGGCGAUGGAGCCCCCAAGGAGCUCGGCGACAUAAAUGCCUCUGCUCCCUUUCUGCUUAGCAAGCAGGUCCAUGGCAGCUGAGAAGUCAUUAGAGUUGCAAAAAGAAGAAAUGAUAUUAUUAUCACUUACCUGUCAAGUAGAGAAAUUAGAAGACUUUUCGGUUUCUCUAAAGCAGAAUUUUGAGGAGAUCUCCAGCUUCCUCUGCAAAGCUACUUCCACAACAGCUGCAACCCACCGAAGAACAUUCCGUUUAUUUCAAGUGUGGGCCUUUGAGCAUUUCGACCCUCACUGCACAGCCCAUGAUUUCGCAGAGCUGCUGAGAACUUCCACUUUACUCUUCCGCCCGGAUUCCUCCCAGUCCCCCGUGGAAAAAUGAUCCUUGAAGUUGCUGCUUGGCGUCGGAUCUGUGGAGCGAGCGUACUCCUCCCGGCCCCGUCGCCGGCGGAGCGGAUGGCAGGGGACCCGAGGCCGGGUAUUAGGAGGCGCCGCCUUUCAGCAGCGAGGAGCGGGGAGCACGGGGGCCCGCGGCGGCGACGGCGGCAGCGGCGACAGCAGCACCGCGGCGGCGGCCGUGAGGGCCCUGCGGCUGCAGCCGGCUCCGGAGACGCUGUCCAUGCCCCUGGUGCUGAAGCAGGGGACUGGAACCCCGAGCCCAGCGCUUCCCUCCACCGGCGAAUCCGAGCCGCUUCCUUCUCUUCCAGCCUUCCCCUCCUUCCCUCUGGUGGAUUUAUUUUUUGGUAGAGGUUAAUUGUUUCUCCAAAAUAAUAGUCUCAUGCUUA